UACGGAGGGUGCGAGCGUUGUCCGGAAUCAUUGGGCGUAAAGGGCGCGUAGGUGGCCCGGCAAGCGUGCGGUGAAAGCUCGGGGCUCAACCCCGAGUCGGCCGUGCGAACUGCGGGGCUGGAGCACUGUAGAGGCAGGCGGAAUUCCCAGUGUAGAGGUGAAAUUCGUAGAUAUUGGGAAGAACACCAGUGGCGAAGGCGGCUCACUGGCUCGUAUCUGACGCUCAGGCGCGAUAGCGUGGGGAUCAAACAGG
rnacentral:rRNA from 1 species